GCCGCCACGGCAUGGGCGAGCACCGCAAAGCGCUUCGUCUCGAUCGACGUAUAGCUGUAGAAGUAC
rnacentral:sRNA from 1 species